AGUAAAAGUCGUAACAAGGUCUCCGUAGGUGAACCUGCGGAGGGAUCAUUACAAGUGACCCCGGUCUAACCACCGGGACGUCCAUAACCCUUUGUUGUCCGACUCUGUUGCCUCCGGGGCGACCCUGCCUUCGGGCGGGGGCUCCGGGUGGACACUUCAAACUCUUGCGUAACUUUGCAGUCUGAGUAAACUUAAUUAAUAAAUUAAAACUUUUAACAACGGAUCUCUUGGUUCUGGCAUCGAUGAAGAACGCAGCGAAAUGCGAUAAGUAAUGUGAAUUGCAGAAUUCAGUGAAUCAUCGAAUCUUUGAACGCACAUUGCGCCCCCUGGUAUUCCGGGGGGCAUGCCUGUUCGAGCGUCAUUUCACCACUCAAGCCUCGCUUGGUAUUGGGCAACGCGGUCCGCCGCGUGCCUCAAAUCGACCGGCUGGGUCUUCUGUCCCCUAAGCGUUGUGGAAACUAUUCGCUAAAGGGUGUUCGGGAGGCUACGCCGUAAAACAGCCCCAUUUCUAAGGUUGACCUCGGAUCAGGUAGGGAUACCCGCUGAACUUAAGCAUAUCAAUAAGCGGAGGA
rnacentral:rRNA from 1 species